GACGAACGCUGGCGGCGCGCCUAACACAUGCAAGUCGAACGAGCGAAGAGGAGCUUGCUUCUCUGAGCGAGUGGCGAACGGGUGAGUAACGCGUGAGGAACCUGCCUCAAAGAGGGGGACAACAGUUGGAAACGACUGCUAAUACCGCAUAAGCCCACAGGUCGGCAUCGACCAGAGGGAAAAGGAGCAAUCCGCUUUGAGAUGGCCUCGCGUCCGAUUAGCUAGUUGGUGAGGUAAUGGCCCACCAAGGCGACGAUCGGUAGCCGGACUGAGAGGUUGAACGGCCACAUUGGGACUGAGACACGGCCCAGACUCCUACGGGAGGCAGCAGUGGGGAAUAUUGCACAAUGGGGGAAACCCUGAUGCAGCGACGCCGCGUGAGUGAAGAAGGUCUUCGGAUUGUAAACCCCUGUUGUUGGGGAAGAUAAUGACGGUACCCAACAAGGAAGUGACGGCUAACUACGUG
rnacentral:rRNA from 1 species